GACGAACGCUGGCGGCGUGCUUAACACAUGCAAGUCGAACGAUGUGGCGAACGGGGGAGUAAUACGUGGGUAACCCGCACUCCUUUUUGGGAUAAGCCUUGGAAACGGGGUCUAAUACCGAACAACUGGGGAGGGGAUCGCGGACUAUCUGCGUGUUGGUGGUGUGAUGGCCUACCAAGGCGGGGACGGGUUGCCGGCCUGAGAGGGUGACCGGCCACAUGGGGACUGAGAUACGGCCAAGGUGCCUACGAGAGGCAGCAGUGGGGGAUAGUGCACAAUGGGCGAAAGGCUGAGGCAGCGGAGCGGCGUGGGGGAUGAAGUCUUUCGGGUUGUAAACCUCUUUCGCAAUCGAACGGGUAGGUGGAGAAGAAGCGCCGGCUAACUACGUGCCAGCCACCGCGGUAAUAC
rnacentral:rRNA from 1 species